UACGUAGGGCGCAAGCGUUGUCCGGAAUUACUGGGCGUAAAGCGCGCGUAGGUGGUUUGUUAAGUUGGAUGUGAAAGCCCCGGGCUCAACCUGGGAACUGCAUUCAAAACUGACAAGCUAGAGUAUGGUAGAGGGUGGUGGAAUUUCCUGUGUAGCGGUGAAAUGCGUAGAUAUAGGAAGGAACACCAGUGGCGAAGGCGACCACCUGGACUGAUACUGACACUGAGGUGCGAAAGCGUGGGGAGCAAACAGG
rnacentral:rRNA from 1 species